GUCGAGCGAGUGUUUAGAGAUUUCUUCGGAUUGAAUCUUAAAUAUCUUAGCGGCGGACGGGUGAGUAACGCGUGAGAAACCUGCCUUUCACAAAGGGAUAGCCUCGGGAAACUGGGAUUAAUACCUUAUGAUACUUUUUCUUCGCAUGAGGAAAAAGUCAAAGCGUAAAGCGGUGAAAGAUGGUCUCGCGUCCCAUUAGUUAGUUGGUGAGGUAACGGCUCACCAAGACAGCGAUGGGUAGCCGGCCUGAGAGGGUGAACGGCCACACUGGAACUGAGACACGGUCCAGACUCCUACGGGAGGCAGCAGUGGGGAAUAUUGCACAAUGGAGGAAACUCUGAUGCAGCGACGCCGCGUGAACGAUGAAGGCUUUCGAGUCGUAAAGUUCUGUCCUAGGGGACGAUAAUGACGGUACCCUAGGAGGAAGCCCCGGCUAACUACGUGCCAGCAGCCGCGGUAAUACGUAGGGGGCAAGCGUUGUCCGGAUUUAUUGGGCGUAAAGGGNACGCAGGCGGCCUUUUAAGUCAGAUGUGAAAGAUCACGGCUCAACCGUGGUAAGCAUUUGAAACUGGAAGGCUUGAGUUAAGGAGAGGAAAGUGGAAUUCCUAGUGUAGCGGUGAAAUGCGUAGAUAUUAGGAGGAAUACCAGUGGCGAAGGCGACUUUCUGGACUUAUACUGACGCUGAGGUACGAAAGCGUGGGGAGCGAACAGGAUUAGAUACCCUGGUAGUCCACGCCGUAAACGAUGAGU
rnacentral:rRNA from 1 species